UACAUGCAAGUCGAGCGGACCGACGGGAGCUUGCUCCCUUAGGUCAGCGGCGGACGGGUGAGUAACACGUGGGUAACCUGCCUGUAAGACUGGGAUAACUCCGGGAAACCGGGGCUAAUACCGGAUGCUUGAUUGAACCGCAUGGUUCAAUCAUAAAAGGUGGCUUUUAGCUACCACUUGCAGAUGGACCCGCGGCGCAUUAGCUAGUUGGUGAGGUAACGGCUCACCAAGGCGACGAUGCGUAGCCGACCUGAGAGGGUGAUCGGCCACACUGGGACUGAGACACGGCCCAGACUCCUACGGGAGGCAGCAGUAGGGAAUCUUCCGCAAUGGACGAAAGUCUGACGGAGCAACGCCGCGUGAGUGAUAAAGGUUUUCGGAUCGUAAAACUCUGUUGUUAGGGAAGAACAAGUACCGUUCGAAUAGGGCGGUACCUUGACGGUACCUAACCAGAAGGCCACGGCUAACUACGUGCCAGCAGCCGCGGUAAUACGUAGGUGGCAAGCGUUGUCCGGAAUUAUUGGGCGUAAAGCGCGCGCAGGCGGUUUCUUAAGUCUGAUGUGAAAGCCCCCAGCUCAACCGGGGAGGGUCAUUGGAAACUGGGGAACUUGAGUGCAGAAGAGGAGAGUGGAAUUCCACGUGUAGCGGUGAAAUGCGUAGAGAUGUGGAGGAACACCAGUGGCGAAGGCGACUCUCUGGUCUGUAACUGACGCUGAGGCGCGAAAGCGUG
rnacentral:rRNA from 1 species